rnacentral:rRNA from 1 species
UGAGGAAUAUUGCACAAUGGGCGAAAGCCUGAUGCAGCAACGCCGCGUGAGGGACGAAGGCCUUCGGGUUGUAAACCUCUUUUCUGGGGAAAGAGACAGGACGGUACCUAAGGAAUAAGUCUCGGCUAACUACGUGCCAGCAGCCGCGGUAAAACGUAGGAGGCGAGCGUUAUCCGGAUUUACUGGGCGUAAAGCGCGCGCAGGCGGUUCCGUUAGUCGGACGUGAAAGCUCCUGGCUUAACUGGGAGAGGUCGUUCGAUACUGCGGGACUUGAGGUUGGGAGAGGGGUGUGGAAUUCCCGGUGUAGUGGUGGAAUGCGUAGAUAUCGGGAGGAACACCUGUGGCGAAAGCGGCACCCUGGCCCACACCUGACGCUGAGGUGCGAAAGCGUGGGUAGCAAACAG